CGACCUCUCCACGGCCACCAAGAGGAAGCCCGGCAGGUCGGCGGCGGCGGCGGCGGCGGCGACGCGGAGGGCCUAUUCUCCUCGCGCUCCUUCGCCGACCCCACACUCUGCGAGGAGGCUCCUCAUCUGAUCUGAGCAAAGAGGCAAAGUAGGGAAGCACACACCUUGGUUAUUAAGCAGCAGCAGCAGAUCCAAUGCUUUGAGAGAGGAGUAGUGAGGGUGUGGACUAUGAAAGAUGAGUAGCGAGGUUGCGGUGUUGAUGUGAAGUAAAUUUGUCGUUCCUCUACCUUAUAGCUUUGUUCCCAACGUCAUAAGAUUGUGACAGAGAAUGGUCCAGAUUACAAGCAAUUACCCUAUCGAUUAGUCCUA